rnacentral:tRNA from 1 species
UUGCGGCUGGAUCACCUCCUUUCUGGAAAUAGAAGCUUAAUUGCUUUGAACGCCCACACUUAUCGGUUGUUGGAGGGUUGUCGCCUGGUGGCUGGAGGAUCAAGCCCUGGUUGUCGAGGCGACCGGCUUGGGUCUGUAGCUCAGUUGGUUAGAGCACCGUCUUGAUAAGGCGGGGGUCGUUGGUUCGAGACCAACCAGACCCACCAUCCAUCAAUGGGUUUGCGUGGAUGCUUGGGGGAUUAGCUCAGCUGGGAGAGCACCUGCUUUGCAAGCAGGGGGUCGUCGGUUCGAUCCCGUCAUCCUCCACCAACGUGGGCUGAAGGUCCGCGGCGCGGGGCGCGUGGUGCGGUAGUGGCGCAGCUGGUUGCGCGAAGUAAGU